rnacentral:lncRNA from 1 species
UCACAAUGAGGCAUAAAACAUUAUGUGGUAGUAUAUUUUGGGAGUCUUUUGUGACUGUAGAGGUGUCGGGCUUUGAAAUAGGUACUUUUGUCAGGGAGAUUUUGACUGCGUUUGGUAGCUUAAGUACAAUAUUGAAGGCAUUGCAGUACUCUUAAAGAUGUCAAUUCUACUUGUGAACAUAAAAACUGAUGCUGAGCAAGUGAAAAGUCACUCAACCUGGCCAUUUGAGCUAUCUAGACUCUGGACAGAUUGAUAAAUCUCAGAGGAGCCAAAUUUAGAAGAGAAUAAAUUGCCCUUAUUUUAACUUUAUUAGGAUUAGGUGGUCUACAGAUUCCUUGUAGAGUCCGAAAGUUGUGGUCAUCUAUACCAGAGAAAAUCAUUAUUUCAGUAAGAGCUCUUUAAGUUGCAGCCUGUUUUCUUUUUCUGUUUCUGUUUUUGUUUUUGUUUUUGUUUUUAUGCUUUUUCCUUUUCACUUACUUAAAAGUAUGCUAAGUAUCUGAUCCAAGAUCUCUUUGACCUGCAAAUUCUUUUCCUGUCUAUUUCAAUUGAUUAAUAUUAUAUUUUGGUUAUUAAUGGUAUGUGUGAAUAUGGGCUACAAAAGAAAAUUUUACAACACAUGAUAUACGAAUAAACACUCACGAAUACAUAGGCCAUAUCCUAAAAAACUAAACAAGAAGUAUAAAACAUAAAAGAUUACAAUCAAACAAAUUUGACAUAAGUACCGAUAAUAACAGGGCGAUUUCAAGGGCUUUAGCAUCUUUAAAUGUGACAAAUGCAGUCUUUGACCCCGAAUCACUGCAAAAACAAUUAGCAUAUACCAAUCCAAGGCUAAACUUGAUGAACAACAGAAUGGUAAGAAGUGAAAAAGAACGUACUGGCGGAUCUCAAUUUGGUCAAUGUCUCCGGUAAAUGAGAAGAACUCAUGAAUUUCUCUCUCACUAGCUAGAUCUCACUAGCUAGAUCUGAAACAUGCCCAACUUGUACUGUUCUUGUCUGACCCUGACCAAAAGAAAAGACAUAAAACUAAUUAUACCAAAAAAAAGUAAUGAACACAGAUUUGUCGAGCAAAGGAACUUGACGAAAGAGCUCACCUGCAUUGUGAAACCGAGAAAUUAUGAGCUGUUUUCUGUCUGUGUAAUUUGGAGUAGAAUGAGAAAGAGGGAUUGAAGAAGAGUAU